CUACGGGCUGCACCAGUGGGGACUAUUGGACAAUGGGCGAAAGCCUGAUCCAGCAAUGCCGCGUGAGUGAUGAAGGCCUUAGGGUUGUAAAGCUCUUUUACCAGGGAUGAUAAUGACAGUACCUGGAGAAUAAGCUCCGGCUAACUCCGUGCCAGCAGCCGCGGUAAUACGGAGGGAGCUAGCGUUGUUCGGAAUUACUGGGCGUAAAGCGCGCGUAGGCGGCUUUUCAAGUCAGGGGUGAAAUCCCGGGGCUCAACCCCGGAACUGCCCUUGAAACUGGAUGGCUAGAAUACUGGAGAGGUGAGUGGAAUUCCGAGUGUAGAGGUGAUAUUCGUAGAUAUUCGGAAGAACACCAGUGGCGAAGGCGACUCACUGGACAGUUAUUGACGCUGAGGUGCGAAAGCGUGGGGAGCAAACAGGAUUAGAUACCCCAGUAGUC
rnacentral:rRNA from 1 species